rnacentral:piRNA from 1 species
UACAAACACAAAAUAGAUUGGGAGGUA